rnacentral:ncRNA from 1 species
UCCAAGGGGUGCUUGUCGUUAUAGACAGGCUGAGAUCGAAAGAAACCCUUUUACCUGAUCCGGAUAAUGCCGGCGUAGGGAAUGGAA